AAUCAACGCUGGCGGCGUGCCUCAGACAUGCAAGUCGAACGCGAAAGUCCCCUUCGGGGGACAAGUAGAGUGGCGCACGGGUGAGUAACACGUAGGUAAUCUACCUUCGGAUGGGAAUAACAACCGGAAACGGUUGCUAAUACCGCAUAAUGCAGCGGCACCUAAUGGUGACAGUUGUUAAAGCGGGGGAUCGAAAGACCCCGCGUCUGAAGAGGAGCCUGCGGCGGAUUAGCUAGUUGGAAGGUAAUGGCUUACCAAGGCGACGAUCCGUAGCCGGCCUGAGAGGGCGGGUCGGCCACACUGACACUGACAUACGGGUCAGACUCCUACGGGAGGCAGCAGUCGGGGAAUUUUGGGCAAUGGGCGGAAAGCCUGACCCAGCAACGCCGCGUGAAGGAUGAAAUCCCUCGGGA
rnacentral:rRNA from 1 species